CACUAGGGGAUGCUGAGGCACUUGGGGACACUGGGAGACAUAUGGACACAGAGACACUGUGUCCCUAGUCCCUGACAGACUUAGGGAGACAUGGGGACACAGACACUAGGGACACAGUGUCUCAGUGUCCAUAUGUCUCCCAGUGUCCCCAAGUCCCUCCGUAUCCCCUAGUGU